AUUGAACGCUGGCGGCAGGCCUAACACAUGCAAGUCGAGCGCGCGGCGGACGGGUGAGUAAUGUAUGGGGAUCUGCCCGAUAGAGGGGGAUAACUACUGGAAACGGUGGCUAAUACCGCAUACUACCGGCUGAUCCCAUCUGGGAUUAGCUAGUAGGUGGGGUAAAGGCUCACCUAGGCGACGAUCACUAGCUGGUCUGAGAGGAUGACCAGCCACACUGGGACUGAGAAACGGCCCAGACGCCAACGGGAGGCAGCAGUGGGGAAUAUUGCACAAUGGGCGGGAGCCUGAUGCAGCCAUGCCGCGUGUAUGAAGAAGGCCUUCGGGUUGGAAAGUACUUUCAGCGGGGAGGCGUUACCCGCAGAAGAAGCACCGGCUAACUCCGUGCCAGCAGCCGCGGUAAUUC
rnacentral:rRNA from 1 species